rnacentral:tRNA from 1 species
ACCUGGGUGGCUCAAUUGGUUGAGCCUCCGACUUCGGCUCAGGUCAUGAUCUCACAGUUUGUGGGUUCGAGCCCCACAUCAGGCU